rnacentral:tRNA from 1 species
GCGGAAGUGGCGGAACUGGCAGACGCGCAGGCCUCAGGAGCCUGUGGCUGACAACAGCCGUGGGGGUUCAACUCCCCCCUUCCGCACCA